rnacentral:rRNA from 1 species
UCAGGACGAACGCUGGCGGCGUGCUUAACACAUGCAAGUCGAACGGUGAAGCUGGUGCUUGCACCGGUGGAGCAGUGGCGAACGGGUGAGUAACACGUGAGUAACCUGCCCUGACUUUGGGAUAACCGCGGGAAACCGUGGCUAAUACUGGAUAUGACACAUGCAGGCAUCUGUGUGUGUGGAAAGAUUUAUCGGUUGGGGAUGGGCUCGCGGCCUAUCAGUUUGUUGGUGGGGUAAUGGCCUACCAAGGCGACGACGGGUAGCCGGCCUGAGAGGGCGACCGGCCACACUGGGACUGAGACACGGCCCAGACUCCUACGGGAGGCAGCAGUGGGGAAUAUUGGACAAUGGGCGAAAGCCUGAUCCAGCGACGCCGCGUGAGGGACGACGGCCUUCGGGUUGUAAACCUCUUUCAGCAGGGAAGAAGCGAGAGUGACGGUACCUGUAGAAGAAGCGCCGGCUAACUACGUGCCAGCCGCGGC